GAUGAACGCUGGCGGCGUGCUUAACACAUGCAAGUCGAGCGAGAAGUUUUGAAAAGAUUCUUCGGAUGAAAUUUAAAAUGGAAAGCGGCGGACGGGUGAGUAACGCGUAGGCAACCUGCCCCAUACAAAGGGAUAGCAUUUGGAAACGAAUAUUAAUACCUUAUGAAACUUAACUAGUGCAUGCUAGGUAGGUCAAAGAUUUAUCGGUAUGGGAUGGGCCUGCGUCUGAUUAGCUAGUUGGUGAGGUAACGGCUCACCAAGGCGUCGAUCAGUAGCCGACCUGAGAGGGUGAACGGCCACAUUGGGACUGAGACACGGUCCAAACUCCUACGGGAGGCAGCAGUGGGGAAUAUUGCACAAUGGGGGAAACCCUGAUGCAGCAACGCCGCGUGAACGAUGAAGGCCUUUGGGUCGUAAAGUUCUGUUCUAGGUGAUGAAAACUGACAGUAACCUAGGAGAAAGCCCCGGCUAACUCCGUG
rnacentral:rRNA from 1 species